rnacentral:tRNA from 1 species
AACGGUAGUUAAGUCGGACUAUAACGCCGGCUUGUCACGCCGGAGGCCGAGGGUUCAAAUCCCUUCCGUUCC